rnacentral:rRNA from 1 species
UGCCAGCAGCCGCGGUAACACGGGGGGCGCAAGCGUUAUUCGGAAUUAUUGGGCGUAAAGGGCGCGCAGGCGGACUUUUAAGUCAGAUGUGAAAUCCCAAGGCUCAACCUUGGAACUGCAUUUGAAACUGGGAGUCUAGAGAUCAGGAGAGGUUAGUGGAAUACCGAGUGUAGAGGUAAAAUCCGUAGAUAUUCGGAGGAACACCAGUGGCGAAGGCGGCUUUCUGGACCGAUACUGACGCUGAGACGCGAAAGCGUGGGGAGCAAACAGGAUUAGAUA